rnacentral:rRNA from 1 species
CAAGGAAUUUUGUGCAAUGGGGGAAACCCUGAUGCAGCGAUGCCGCGUGAGUGAAGAAGGCCUUUGGGUUGUAAAGCUCUUUCGUCGGGGAAGAAAAUGACUGUACCCGAAUAAGAAGGUCCGGCUAACUUCGUGCCAGCAGCCGCGGUAAUACGAAGGGACCUAGCGUAGUUCGGAAUUACUGGGCUUAAAGAGUUCGUAGGUGGUUAAAAUAGUUGGUGGUGAAAUCCCAGAGCUUAACUCUGGAACUGCCAUCAAAACUUUUUAGCUAGAGUAUGAUAGAGGAAAGUAGAAUUUCUAGUGUAGAGGUGAAAUUCGUAGAUAUUAGAAAGAAUACCAAUUGCGAAGGCAGCUUUCUGGGUCAUUACUGACACUGAGGAACGAAAGCAUGGGUAGCGAAGAGG